UUCUGGGUACUGCCACUGUGUCUUCUAUUGUUUUAAGUACCACCACCGUGCCUAGUCAUCAAGAGAGCACUUGCUAUGCUCUUCUAACUUCAUCUGCAAGCAAUAUACAUUUUGAUAGAGAUGUAGAGCAAGACGUUGUCAUCCAUGAGAAAUCUUCAGAUAUUCACAUCGGCGAGCUACCUGUCUGCAGUCAAAUUUCUCAAUGUUUACCCACAUCUCCAGCAACGUCCCCUGCUACUCCUUCGGCUUCUCUUGGAAAUUUCGAAACUCCAAGGAUAAAAUACGAUUUCAGUUCGGAUGAAAAACCUUUUCUUGCAAGUGGCAGUUCAGAUGAGUACGUCUCGUCCACCACCUCCGACGACGAAGAGGAGACUCCUUGUAAAGGCAAGGAUUUACGUUCUCAAAUUUCACCAACUUCAAAUGUAAGUGAACACGAUCUUGGCUUUGAAGGAGUAGUAGAAAAGCUUUUUACGGAUCAAUAUGUUUCAUCUGCCCCCAACAAAUUGGUGCGACGAAAUCUUUUGAGUGCCUUCCUCAGAAUUGAUACAGAAACGGGUAUGGCAACAUUUGAAAUGCGAAAACCUCUGCACGCUGGAAAUUUUGACAGCCACUGCAUGACCGAAGGUAAAAAUGUGUACAUUUUUGUUGAACAAUUUGGGCAACUGGAUAAUCAUACCUGUAAAUCUCUCCCAGAACAUGUGUAAACUCGAACGGUGACUGUGCUCCUUCGAAAAAACAUCACUGAUUGCCAACUCGAACUUAGCUCUUUUGUUUGGACAAGGCCUAUUCUUUAGCAGGAGAAGAAGUUUUGCUACCAGAUUGUUCACGCGUAGUACUGUUUAAAUUAUCCCAAACACAAGUUGAAUCGCUUCGCCCAAAACCAGUUGUUUCUCAUAGUGGUAAAAAGGAGCAGUGCUGUCUCUACUGCAAAAAGAUGUAUGUGGAAAUUUCGUGUCAUUUGUUACAAAUGCAUAGGUCAGAAUCUAAAGUCAUCAAAAUUUCGAAAAUUAAUUUUAAAAGUAAGGAACGAAAAGAUGCUUUGAAAGCGCUUCGUUUAGAAGGAGAUCAUCAGUACAAUUUAAGCGUAUUUCCUGAGCAACGAGUACCACUUCGAACAUUCAAAUUGACAAACAUUAAAGAUGGCGUUAUUUGUCCACAUUGUCACGGAUUAUUUGCUGUUAGAAAUUUUGCAAGACACGAACGCGCUUGCAGCAGUAGAAAUUCCGAUCAUAGGCGAGUACUAAAAGCUGCUCUAGAAAUCCAGUCAGCCUAUAGAUAAAAAAAUACGGAACGGUCUCAAAAAGAUCAAUUCCAUAUGGACUCUUUAGAAACGUCACUUAUAGCCGCUUUGAUAUCUCCUAUAAGAGAAGAUGAUUAAACAUGAAAUUGUCUCGGACAAGUGCUUAAAGUUGUUGGCAAAAAAGUUUGCUUUUAGACAUAGGAAUGCCCCAGGCGCUUUAAAAAACGAUCGACAGCAUUUGCGGCGAAUGAGUCGGUUAUUUUUGAUGCUUAAGGAAAUGGAUCCGCCUAUCAUUGAUUUCGAGGACUGUAUUUGUAACGUUGCUUAUGACGCUUUAACAGAGGCUGUGUGUAAAAUGUGCAACAUAGACGGCUCGAAAGGCAGUUUUGAAAAAGCACCACUGGCCAAAGCCUUAAGAUUUACGAUUACAGAGCUUGUACAAUGCUUAAGAGUGGAUUAUAUUAAAAAUAAAAUUUCGGAAGAGUCUAAUCAGUACAAAGGAUUGUUGGCAUUUUUAGAUCUUCACACUUCACAAUACGGAAUAUACAUUGGCAGUUCAGCAUCGAGGACACAUCUUGAGCUGCGGGCCAAAAAAAAAAGAACGAACUGCCUUCUCCUGCAGAUAUAAAAAAAAUUCUACUUAUAUUUGCAAUGAAGCAAGAAGGGCUUUCAAUAAAUUAACUUCAAACGAAGAAUUUGAUUACAAUGCUUGGCUAAGCCUUGGAAAAGCCGAAAUGGCUAAAAUUAUUUUAUUUAAUAGAAGAAGAGUGACUGAAGUGGCGGCUAUGUCAUUGGAUCUUUUCAAAAAUCGAAUUUCAUUACAAGAUCAUCAUAAACAGCAGUUAAAUCUUCACCAGAGAGUUAAUGCGGAGCAAUACAGAAUCAUGACUUUGAUAGGGAAACGAUCCCAUAUUUUGCAUGUUCUUAUCGAACAGGAGCAGUGCACCCACUUAGAAAAAUUUACAGAACUUCGUAAUAAGGCAGGUGUUUCUGAUUCUAAUAAAUAUUUAUUUGGAAUACCCUCCGAUGUAAUGUACAUUGAUGCCUCCAACGUUUUACGAGAAUUUUCCUUUAAGUGUGGUGCGACGCGUCCGGAUUUGUUAAGAACAACGUAUUUGCGAAAACAAGUCGCAACUUUGGCUCAGGUUCUCAACUUGAAUGACAAUCAAAUAGCUCAAGUUGCAGCUUUAAUGGGUCACAGUCAAAAAGUACACGAGCAAAUUUACAAGCAAGACGAUCAUUUGUUUCAAGUUACCGCUUGGACUAAAUUUCUAUCUAUAGCCCGAGACGAAGACAUCACAUCUUACAAAGGAAAAACGUUUAAAGAAGUAUUGACCUCUAUUGAGAACACGGAGGUUCCAGAUGUUGGUCCAGCAGACGAGAAUCAUUUCACUCUGGACGAAUUAUUAAAUGUUGAAGAAAUGGCAGUACUAGAAACUUCAACAAACAUCAGAAGUGAUACCGCCGUAACACUAUACUGAGCCACAAACCCCUCGAAAGAGACCUGGGUUAGCUGCUAGGACAACUUCAAGGUCUGGAAGUUCUAGGUCAUCAAUAACACUUAGGAAAUUUAAGCUUGAAACACCUAUAAAGUCCCUUCCGAAAUAUAGAAAAAAAAAAAACGAUUUUCACACGUAAAGAAAUCGACACAAUGACUGGUUGUUUCGCUGAAUACAUCACAGCAGGCAGUUUAGCACCAAUGCGUAUUUGUGAUGAAGUGGUUGCUACGCAUAAAGAAAUUUUUUGUGGUCAACGCAGAGGCCGAGACUUGUACAAUUGGGUCCAGUAUCAGCGAAAUAAACGAAGAUCUCAAAAUUACAAGUAAUAAGAAUGUUCGCUAUGGUGAUGUUUUUCUGCGUACCUCCACCCUGUUUACCACUGACUGGUGCCGCCACUGGGUUUAUUACGACUUCGCGAUUUGCGCUAUAAAUGCACACUGCUGCGUGUCUUGUGUCCUGUUUCUGAGCAUACCGUUAUCAUGUCGACAACUGCUGGUGCCGCCACUGUGUUUAUGCUGCUUCUAAGGGUGCCGCCAAUGUGUUGCUGCUUCUGGGCAUACUGCCAUAAAUGAUUUACAUUUGAGUUAUUGUUCCAACACACUGCAGCGUGUCUUGUGUUCCUGCUUCUAAGCGUACCGCCAUCGUGUCUAAAACUGCUGGUGCCGCCACUGUGUUUAUGCUCCUUCUAAGCGUGCCAUCAUCCGUCUCUGUCUUUGAGUUAUUGUUUCAUUUAAAUUAAUUU